rnacentral:tRNA from 1 species
GGAAGGGGCGCUCGGACUUCAAAUCCGGUGAGACGCGUACCACGUGUCUGGUGGGUUCGACUCCCACCCUCUUCCGCCA